rnacentral:rRNA from 1 species
GCGUUGUCCGGAUUUAUUGGGCGUAAAGAGUGUGCAGGCGGUUCGGUAAGUCUGUCGUGAAAUCCUGGGGCUCAACCCCGGGCUUGCGAUGGAUACUGCCGGGCUAGAGGAUGGUAGAGGCGAGUGGAAUUCCCGGUGUAGCGGUGAAAUGCGCAGAUAUCGGGAGGAACACCAGUAGCGAAGGCGGCUCGCUGGGCCAUUCCUGACGCUGAGACGCGAAAGCUAG